CCUACGGUGGGCAGCAGUGGGGAAUAUUGGGCAAUGGGCGCAAGCCUGACCCAGCAACGCCGCGUGAAGGAAGAAGGCCCUCGGGUUGUAAACUUCUUUUAUCAAGGACGAAACAAAUGACGGUACUUGAUGAAUAAGCCACGGCUAACUAAGUGCCAGCAGCCGCGGGAAGACGCGGGUGGCAAGCGUUAUCCGGAUUUACUGGGGGGAAGGGGCGGGUAGGCGGGACUGCAAGUCAGAUGGGAAACCCAUGGGCUCAACCCAUGGCCUGCAUUUGAAACUGUAGUUCUUGAGUGUUGGAGAGGCAGGCGGAAUUCCGUGUGUAGCGGUGAAAUGCGUAGAUAUACGGAGGAACACCAGUGGCGAAGGCGGCCUGCUGGACAAUAACUGACGCUGAGGCGCGAAAGCGUGGGGAGCAAACAGGAUUAGAUACCCGUGUAGUC
rnacentral:rRNA from 1 species